UACGUAGGGGGCGAGCGUUGUCCGGAUUUACUGGGCGUAAAGCGCGUGUAGGCGGCUGCUUAAGUCGGGCGUGAAAGCCCGGGGCUCAACCCCGGGAUGCCGCCCGAGACUGGGCGGCUUGAGGUCGGAAGAGGGGAGUGGAAUUCCAGGUGUAGCGGUGAAAUGCGUAGAUAUCGGGAGGAAUACCUAUGGCGAAAGCAGUCUUCUGGACCAUCACUGACUCUGAUCUGCGAAAGCUAGGGGAGCAAACAGG
rnacentral:rRNA from 1 species